GGAGGUUGGCUUAGAAGCAGCCAUCCUUGAAAGAGUGCGUAAUAGCUCACUGGUUAAGUGGUGAUGCGCCGAUAAUGUAGUGGGGCUUUUUAAGUACACCGCCGAAACCGCGGCAACACACAUUUUUGGUGUGUGUUGGGUAGGGGAGCGUCGUGCACGCUGGGAAGCUGUCACGGAAGUGGUGGUGGAGUGUGUGCGAGUGAGAAUGCAGGCAUGAGUAGCGAAAAACAUGUGGAAAACGUGUUCGCCGGAUGACUAAGGGUUCCUGGGUGAAGCUAAUCUUCCCAGGGUGAGUCGGGACCUAAGGCGAGGCCGACAGGCGUAGUCGAUGGAUAACGGGUUGAUAGUCCCGUACCCGUGUAUGCGCGACAAGUGGUGACUCGGUUGUACUAACCACCCACCACCAUUGAUGUUCACACGUUGUGUGUUUGUUGGUGUGUGGUGCGUGGGAUCUUGAUCGUUGGUAGCCAAGCGAUGGGGUGACACAGAUUGGUAGUCAAGGCCACUUAUUGGAUUGUGGUGUAAGCGUGUGGCCCGUAGGAUAGGUAAAUCCGUUCUGCAUAUAGGGUGAGGCGUGAUGCGUACCCAGAUUGUUGGGGAUGUUUGAUGUGCCUGUGCUGUCGAGAAAAGCCUCUAGCGAUGUGUGUGCACGGCCCGUACCGGAAACCGACACAGGUGGUCUGGUUGAGGAUACUAAGGCGUUCGGGUGAACUAUGGUUAAGGAACUCGGCAAAAUGCCCCCGUAACUUCGGGAGAAGGGGGGCCAUGUGCGGCAAUCACCCUGUGCGGUGUGCGUUGUGUGUGGCCGCAGAGAAGUGAGGGAAGCGACUGUUUAUUAAAAACACAGGUCCGUGCGAAGACGUUGCAAGUCGAGGUAUACGGACUGACGCCUGCCCGGUGCUGGAAGGUUAAGAGGACUCGUGAGCAUGCCUUUUGUGGUGUGUGAGGCGGGUAAUUGAAGCCCCAGUAAACGGCGGUGGUAACUAUAACCAUCCUAAGGUAGCGAAAUUCCUUGUCGGGUAAGUUCCGACCUGCACGAAUGGCGUAACGACUUCCCUGCUGUCUCAACCAUAGGCCCGGUGAAAUUGCAGUACGAGUAAAGAUGCUCGUUUCGCGCGGCAGGACGAAAAGACCCCGGGACCUUUACUAUAGCUUGGUAUUGGUGUGUGCUGCAGCUUGUGUAGGAUAGGUGGGAGACGUGGAAGCAUUCACGCUAGUGGGUGUGGAGUCAUUGGUGAAAUACCACUCUGGUUGUUGUGUGCAUCUAACUGUGGGCCCUGAUCGGGUUUUGGGACAGUGCCUGGUGGGUAGUUUAACUGGGGCGGUUGCCUCCUAAAUGGUAACGGAGGCGCCCAAAGGUUCCCUCGGCUUGGUUGGUAAUCAGGUUUGUAGAGUGUAAGUGCAGUAAGGGAGCUUGACUGUGACACUGACGGGUGGAGCAGGUGCGAAAGCAGGGACUAGUGAUCCGGCAUCAACGUGUGGGUGUGGUGUCGCUCAACGGAUAAAAGGUACCCCGGGGAUAACAGGCUGAUCUUCCCCAAGAGUUCAUAUCGACGGGAUGGUUUGGCACCUCGAUGUCGGCUCGUCGCAUCCUGGGGCUGGAGUAGGUCCCAAGGGUUGGGCUGUUCGCCCAUUAAAGCGGCACGCGAGCUGGGUUUAGAACGUCGUGAGACAGUUCGGUCUCUAUCCGCCGCGCGCGUGGAAACUUGAACAAGGCUGUCCCUAGUACGAGAGGACCGGGAUGGACGUACCUCUAGUGUGCCAGUUGUCACGCCGGUGGCAUGGCUGGUUGGCUAUGUGCGGGAGGGAUAACCGCUGAAAGCAUCUAAGCGGGAAGCCUGUUGUGAGAUGAGGUUUCU
rnacentral:rRNA from 1 species